rnacentral:rRNA from 1 species
CCUACGGGUGGCAGCAGUGGGGAAUAUUGCACAAUGGGCGAAACCCUGAUGCAGCGACGCCGCGUGAGUGAAGAAGUAUUUCGGUAUGUAAAGCUCUAUCAGCAGGGAAGAAAAUGACGGUACCUGAUUAAGAAGCCCCGGCUAACUACGUGCCAGCAGCCGCGGGAAUACGGAGGGCGCAAGCGUUAUCCGGAUUUACUGGGUGUAAAGGGAGCGUAGACGGCAGCACAAGUCUGGAGUGAAAUGCCGGGGCUUAACCCCGGAACUGCUUUUGAAACUGUGCAGCUAGAGUGCAGGAGAGGUAAGUGGAAUUCGUGGUGUAGCGGUGAAAUGCGUAGAUAUUAGGAGGAACACCAGUGGCGAAGGCGGCUUACUGGACUGUAACUGACGUUGAGGCUCGAAAGCGUGGGUAGCAAACAGGAUUAGAUACCCCUGUAGUC